GUCCACGCCGUAAACGAUGGGCACUAGGUGCUUGGGGGAGCGACCCCCUGAGUGCCGGCGCUAACGCAUUAAGUGCCCCGCCUGGGGAGUACGGCCGCAAGGCUGAAACUCAAAGGAAUUGACGGGGGCCCCGCACAAGCGGUGGAGCAUGUGGUUUAAUUCGACGCAACGCGAAGAACCUUACCUGGGCUUGACAUCUCGGGGAAAGCCGUGAGAAACCACGGCCCCUCUUCGGAGUCCCGAGACAGGUGCUGCAUGGCUGUCGU
rnacentral:rRNA from 1 species